ACCAGUGUGAAUCUCCAAGCCCUCAAUGCCAGCCAGGGACUUGUGAGAAACAAAGUAAGGGACAACACAGAGGACCCAGGACAGGAACUGGGACAUUUUGCCUGGAUCUGCACCUGAGUGACCUUGUAAAUUUGAGUAAGUCAUUGUGGCUCUAUUGUCUUCCUUUUCUUCAUCAACUAAGAGGUAGGGUGGGGUUGGAUGGGACAGUUUUUCUUUGGUGCUUACAUUCUAAGACUCUAUGAUUUUAUAUAUUCUACUUAUAUUUUACAAACAUAUUCUCAUGUUUAAGUAAACUGAACAUAUACCUACUAGAGGAGAUGAACUGAAAAAACUAUUUAAAGAGUAAGAGAUUUCGAAGUGGAUGACAUCAUUAAACAAACCGCACCCCAGGGCCUGGCCCUAAAGAUAUUGACCAUCAGGAGAACCCUGAGGGGGAACAGUAAGUAAGGAAAACAAUUCACAUAUUUGCUGAAAGACUGAUGUGUGGGUUAUUCUCGGUGGGUCUGGCUUAGGUAUGGAUGUUUUAGUAGUUUGGAGAAGUUGAGUAAGAAGGUGGGUAAAUGUGGGGAUCCCUGGGUGGCUCAGCAGUUUAGCGCCUGCCUUUGGCCCAGGGCAUGAUCCUGGAGUCCUGGGAUCGAGUCCUGCAUCAGGCUCCCUGCAUGGAGCCUGCUUCUUCCUCUGCCUGUGUCUCUGCCUCUCUUUCUCUCUCUGUGUCUCUCAUGAAUAAAUGAAUAAAAUCUUUAAGAGAGGAAAAAAAA
rnacentral:lncRNA from 12 species